GAAAAUUCGGCCCGAUUUUGGCUCACUUUUGACACAAAUUCAACAAAAACUAUUUUUAUGACAAAGUUCAUCACUGAAAUCAAUACAAAUCAAAUAGUUCAACAAAGCAAGCUCAUCAUAAUUCAAACACAAAUUAAAACAAAUCGAACUAGGUAUUUCCUUUGAGCCUCCAUAGGUGCUCCACCAGAUCGUCCUGCAGUUGUUGAUGCACCUGUGGGUCUCGGAUCUCCUGACGCAUAUUGAGGAAGGCAACCCAUGUUGCCAGUACCACGUGAUCAACAACUGCAAGAGGACCCUGACUAAAAUAUGGUUCAGUGUCAAACACUCGCUCUUCCUUCUCGAUCUCAAUGAUCAUGUUGUGCAAGAUGACACAUCAAUUCAUCACCUCCCACAUGUGAGAUUUCGACCAGGUCAGAGAAGGCUAC
rnacentral:lncRNA from 1 species